UCUGAUUAUAAGUAGAUAAGAAAGCAUAACGAGCUAGAGGAUGAUGGAUACAGGAUGAUCUAUAGAGAAUAGGUUCCUAAGAAUCCAAAUGUGAAGUAGAAAGGACAGAUGCUGGAAUCACGUCCUAUGAAAUGUUGGAGGAAGUGGAGGGCGGAUUGACUAAAGACAUUUUUCGCUUAUAAACAAAACCUAGUUUAAAAUGAUUCAAAGAUGAUGAAUCAUCAAAUAAAUGCAAUAUUGAAGCAG
rnacentral:lncRNA from 1 species